rnacentral:rRNA from 1 species
GAUGAACGCUAGCGGCCGGCUUAAUACAUGCAAGUCGCGGGGCAGCAUGAAUGUAGCAAUACAUUUGAUGGCGACCGGCAAACGGGUGCGGAACACGUACUGAACCUUCCUUUAAGUGGGGAAUAGCCCAGAGAAAUUUGGAUUAAUACCCCGUAAUAUAUAGAAGUGGCAUCACUUUUAUAUUAUAGCUCAGGAGCUUAAAGAUGGCAGUGCGGCUGAUUAGGUAGUUGGCGGGGUACCGGCCCACCAAGCCGACGAUCAGUAACUGGUGUGAGAGCACGACCAGGCACACGGGCACUGAGACACGGGCCCGACUCCUACGGGAGGCAGCAGUAAGGAAUAUUGGUCAAUGGACGCAAGUCUGAACCAGCCAUGCCGCGUGGAGGAUGAAGGUCCUCUGGAUUGUAAACUUCUUUUAUCUGGGAAGAAAUCCAUCUUUUCUUGGAUGGUUGACGGUACCAGAUGAAUAAGCACCGGCUAACUCCGUGCCAGCAGCCGCAGUAA